GACUGCUGGACUGAGGGCCUCAGUUUCUUGAUGGAAGCCACCUUCAAAUCCUAGAGGACACCUGAAGUUCCUUGACAUGUGGCCUCCCCAUCAUGGGAUCCUCCUUCAUUACAGCCAGCAAGGAAGAGAGGACCUCCUGACAUAUCCCAAAUUCUACUGAUACAUGAAUCAAGAGAAGCUUCUCAAGUUAUAGAUCUCAGAGUAAAUAUAUAUACCAUCCUAUCCCAAUCCAUCUUGCUCUAAAUACUGCUUUUUCUGAGGCUGUCAAAAGCACAAGCUGCCAUGGUAAUGACAGGAAGAUAUGGGUGAAAUGCCAGCCCUAAUUAGAGACUUGAUUGCUCUGUAAUAACAAGGCCUGUAUUUGAUUUGGACGGUUCUGGGUUGUCAGGUAAAAUGAAUUAAAUAUGUCUGCACUUUCAUUUCAAAAUGUGAAAAAUGUGAAUGUGCAUUAUUUAUAUUGUAUUUCAUGGCUAUAAUUAAUUAUGUGUCUGUGGACAUGAUGUCCCAAAGACAGUUGAUUUUAUGUUCAAUCUGUAUGUGCAUUUGUAAAACUAAUUUGUUCUCAUUAAAAUUUUUAAGGGUUUAUUCGAGUUAAACUCAGGAGGCCUUUCUGGGUAUACAACUCACAAAAUACAAAGCAAAAGUCGAAUUUACAUUUUUUUUGCUAGUAAACUAUUCAAUGCCUGAAGCAUUGUACUAGAUAUUAUUGUAGUGAAUAUGGUGGGCUAUAAAAAUAAAGAGAAGACAUACUUCCUUUUCAGAUAGUGCUUUUAAACUUGUUUGGAAGACUUCGGUAUAAAACAAAUGAACAUAAUGCAACCUGAGCUUCUAUUACUUAGUAAAAGAACAUUGUGUUUUGUCAAAGAAAUAUUAAGUCUGUAUGAUGAGUUGAACAGUUUUUCUUGUGAAUAUCCUAUAGAAAUGUGGAAGAUAUUUUGCUUUCUAAAACACUGUUCGGAAUUUCUUCCAGUUGUAAUUUUUAAUAUUUGCUAAAUGUAUCAACCAUUAAUAUUAAAAUUUUCAAAUAUAUUCUCUCAAGUAGUAUAAAGCUUUUUUUCUUAUCAGUGACAGCAGUACUUUCAAGCAGACCCACAAAUGAACUUCAAUACUGAAAAUAAUUUGUGUAUCUCAAGUUCACUAACAUUAAUUCUCUUCAUUGUAGUUGGAUAUCGUUGCAGUUAUUAAAGCAAUAUUUACCAAAAAA
ensembl:lncRNA novel transcript